CUAUAUACAACCCUUGGCCACAUCAAUCAGUCACCAGAUUUAAUUGCAAAAAAUGAACACCAAGGUUUGCGUCACGGGAGCUGCAGGCUAUCUCGGUUCUGCCCUCGUUCACAAGUUGCUGGAAAAAGGGUAUGCCGUCCAUGCUACUCUCCGGAAUUUAGGUGAUGCAUCAAAGACAGGGCUGCUCAAAGCUCUUCCCCACGCAGACACAAGGCUCUUAUUGUUUCAGGCAGAUAUCUACAAUCCUGAUGAGUUUGGUCCUGCUAUUCAAGGCUGCCAGGUGGUUUUCCACGUUGCCACUCCCUUGCAGCACGACGCCUCCAGCUCUCAGUAUAAGAAUACUUGUGAGGCAGCUGUUGCUGGGGUGAAGACCAUUGCUGAAUCCUGCAUCAAAUCAGGAACUGUGAAGCAACUCAUCUACACUGCCUCUGUUGUAGCAUCAUCAGCAUUAAAGGAUGAUGGAUCAGGCUACAAGGACACAAUCGAUGAAUCCUGUUGGACUCCUCUCAAUGUCUCCUAUAGAUGCGCCACAGAUUUCUUAACUGCAUAUGUACGCUCAAAGACAUUGGCCGAAAAAGAAGUGCUGAGAUACAAUGAUGAGAAGAAAUUAGAGGUGGUGAGUCUUGUUUGUGGAAUUGUUGGAGGAUACAAAUUUCAAUCCUUGAUAGGCGAAAGCAUGAGAGUGCUAAUAUCCCAAGCUACCAAAGACAAGAUGAGGUAUCAAACUCUAAGGUUUUUGGAGGAAGUGAUUGGAAAAAUUCCAGUUUUGCACAUUGAAGAUGUUAUUGAUGCCCAUAUCUUCUGCGUGGAAAACCCGGGCUUCACUGGCAGAUUUCUAUGUGCUUCUGAUCUUCUAAAAUCAGAGGAGAUUGCAACGUUGAUUCAAAGUCGUUGCUCAGAAAGCAAAAUUCCCGAUGAUAUGAGAUGGGCAAAGAUACCAAGAAAUGGAUAAUGAACCAACAGAAGUUCAUGCAACCCAAUCUGUCAAGAGGGUCUGGACCCAAAAAAUGUUCCAAGUGACCCAAUACCAAGGCAAAAACUUGGAUCCACCAAUUGUUGGACUUAAAUCCACUCUGUCCUCCAACCGGCUUUACUAGCUGUGAUUGAAGAGUACAACGCUAAGGCAUUUCGCAAAAGAAAUGACGUGACAAGUUUUGGCCACACGAUCUAUAGCGUUGCCGGUGGACCGGAUCUGUCCAAGUUUUUGCCUAAUGCCAACUGUAGGUGUGCACGCUGGUAGAUGAAGUUCAUUGAGGAUUCGAAUAGAGAUAUUAGAUGGGGCUCUUCAAAGCUGGAGGAAUUGGGCUUUCACUACAAAUAUGACGCUGUGAUGACCCUAAAUGACUCCCUUCAGUAUUUCAAGGUUCCACUUCCACUGGAGAGUUCCUAAAACAUUACCAUAUAAGCAUGUUUCUGUUCAGUCAUUUCUAAUAAGGUUGAGAAAUCCCACCUCACAAGUAAGGUGAAUUUUAUGGUCCCUUUUGGAACCAUUUUAUCAAUUUGUAUCUCUCAUUAAAGAUAAAUAAUUUAAAUUUUAAACAUUAAAUAAUGUUUAAACUAAAGGUCAGUAAUACUUCUUUCACCAUCUAACGAUGAAUUUCACUUGCGGGUAUGAUACCAAAAGGGACCGUAGAAUCACCUUAAACCCUUUAUUGUGUCAAAUCUCAAUAGAUAAUAUAAUAAAAAUAUGUUGAAUCUGUGAAAAAGAUAAAUAAUGCCACUUUCAGAAGAAAUUCUUGAAGUGGACUGUCAUUCAAUAAUGUUGUUGAAAUGGUCAAAACAAUCUUGAUGAUUUUUAUAUUUUGUGGUUUAUUUAAUCACCAUACGUACUGACAGUCUGAUACUGGAUUGCAUGAAUUAAAGGUACAGACGAGUCUAGGGUCUUGCCUUUUUGCUUUCAA